rnacentral:rRNA from 1 species
GAACCGCAUGGUUCAGACAUAAAAGGUGGCUUCGGCUACCACUUACAGAUGGACCCGCGGCGCAUUAGCUAGUUGGUGAGGUAACGGCUCACCAAGGCGACGAUGCGUAGCCGACCUGAGAGGGUGAUCGGCCACACUGGGACUGAGACACGGCCCAGACUCCUACGGGAGGCAGCAGUAGGGAAUCUUCCGCAAUGGACGAAAGUCUGACGGAGCAACGCCGCGUGAGUGAUGAAGGUUUUCGGAUCGUAAAGCUCUGUUGUUAGGGAAGAACAAGUGCCGUUCAAAUAGGGCGGCACCUUGACGGUACCUAACCAGAAAGCCACGGCUAACUACGUGCCAGCAGCCGCGGUAAUACGUAGGUGGCAAGCGUUGUCCGGAAUUAUUGGGCGUAAAGGGCUCGCAGGCGGUUUCUUAAGUCUGAUGUGAAAGCCCCCGGCUCAACCGGGGAGGGUCAUUGGAAACUGGGGAACUUGAGUGCAGAAGAGGAGAGUGGAAUUCCACGUGUAGCGGUGAAAUGCGUAGAGAUGUGGAGGAACACCAGUGGCGAAGGCGACUCUCUGGUCUGUAACUGACGCUGAGGAGCGAAAGCGUGGGGAGCGAACAGGAUUAGAUACCCUGGUAGUCCACGCCGUAAACGAUGAGUGCUAAGUGUUAGGGGGUUUCCGCCCCUUAGUGCUGCAGCUAACGCAUUAAGCACUCCGCCUGGGGAGUACGGUCGCAAGACUGAAACUCAAAGGAAUUGACGGGGGCCCGCACAAGCGGUGGAGCAUGUGGUUUAAUUUGAAGCAACGCGAAGAACCUUACCAGGUCUUGACAUCCUCUGACAAUCCUAGAGAUAGGACGUCCCCUUCGGGGGCAGAGUGACAGGUGGUGCAUGGUUGUCGUCAGCUCGUGUCGUGAGAUGUUGGGUUAAGUCCCGCAACGAGCGCAACCCUUGAUCUUAGUUGCCAGCAUUCAGUUGGGCACUCUAAGUGACUGCCGGUGACAAACCGGAGGAAAGGACGUCAAAUCAUCAUGCCCCUUAUGACCUGGGCUACACACGUGCUACAAUGGGCAGAACAAAGGGCAGCGAAACCGCGAGGUUAAGCCAAUCCCACAAAUCUGUUUUCAGUUUGGAUCGCAGUCUGCAACUCGACUGCGUGAAGCUGGAAUCGCUAGUAAUC